rnacentral:rRNA from 1 species
CUUUUUCUUUCACGGAGCUUGCUCCACCGAAAGAAAAAGAGUGGCGAACGGGUGAGUAACACGUGGGUAACCUGCCCAUCAGAAGGGGAUAACACUUGGAAACAGGUGCUAAUACCGUAUAACACUAUUUUCCGCAUGGAAGAAAGUUGAAAGGCGCUUUUGCGUCACUGAUGGAUGGACCCGCGGUGCAUUAGCUAGUUGGUGAGGUAACGGCUCACCAAGGCAACGAUGCAUAGCCGACCUGAGAGGGUGAUCGGCCACACUGGGACUGAGACACGGCCCAGACUCCUACGGGAGGCAGCAGUAGGGAAUCUUCGGCAAUGGACGAAAGUCUGACCGAGCAACGCCGCGUGAGUGAAGAAGGUUUUCGGAUCGUAAAACUCUGUUGUUAGAGAAGAACAAGGAUGAGAGUAAAAUGUUCAUCCCUUGACGGUAUCUAACCAGAAAGCCACGGCUAACUACGUGCCCAGCA